rnacentral:tRNA from 1 species
GGCCUGCUGGCGAAAUGGUAUCGCGUCAGAUUUCGGUACACCGAAAUUAAGAACUCUGAAGAUUGUCGGUUCGAAUCCGGCGUGGGUCG